rnacentral:rRNA from 1 species
GUAGGUGGCAAGCGUUGUCCGGAAUUAUUGGGCGUAAAGCGCGCGCAGGCGGUUUUUAAGUCUGAUGUGAAAGCCCACGGCUCAACCGUGGAGGGUCAUUGGAAACUGGAGAACUUGAGUACAGAAGAGGAAAGCGGAAUUCCACGUGUAGCGGUGAAAUGCGUAGAGAUGUGGAGGAACACCAGUGGCGAAGGCGGCUUUCUGGUCUGUAACUGACGCUGAGGCGCGAAAGCGUGGGGAGCAAACAGGGAUUAGAUACCCUGGUAGUCCACGCCGUAAACGAUGAGUGCUAAGUGUUAGGGGGUUUCCCGCCCCUUAGUGCUGCAGCUAACGCAUUAAGCACUCGCCUGGGGAGUACGCCGCAAGGCUG